rnacentral:rRNA from 1 species
UUUCCGAAUGGGGGAACCCAACAUCUUUAAUAGGAUGUUACGAUUGUGUGAAUACAUAGCACAUUCGAGGUAGACGCAGAGAACUGAAACAUCUAAGUACCUGCAGGAAGAGAAAGAAAAUUCGAUUCCCUGAGUAGCGGCGAGCGAAACGGGAAAAGCCCAAACCAGCAAGCUUGCUUGUUGGGGUUGUAGGACUCCAAUAUGGUAGUUCUUUCAGAUAGUCGAAUGACUUGGAAAAGUCAGUCAAAGAGGGUAAAAACCCCGUAGACGAAAUGUGGAAGACACCUAGGAGGAUCCUGAGUACGGCGGAACACGAGAAAUUCCGUCGGAAUCCGGGAGGACCAUCUCCCAAGGCUAAAUACUCCCUAGUGACCGAUAGUGAACCAGUACCGUGAGGGAAAGGUGAAAAGCACCCCGGAAGGGGAGUGAAAUAGAACCUGAAACCGUGUGCCUACAACAAGUCAAAGCCCGUUAAUGGGUGAUGGCGUGCCUUUUGUAGAAUGAACCGGCGAGUUACGAUUGCAUGCGAGGUUAAGUUGAAGAGACGGAGCCGCAGCGAAAGCGAGUCUGAAUAGGGCGUUUGAGUAUGUAGUCGUAGACCCGAAACCAUGUGAUCUACCCAUGUCCAGGUUGAAGGUGCGGUAAAACGCACUGGAGGACCGAACCCACGUACGUUGAAAAGUGCGGGGAUGAGGUGUGGGUAGCGGAGAAAUUCCAAACGAACUUGGAGAUAGCUGGUUCUCUCCGAAAUAGCUUUAGGGCUAGCCUCGGAAUUGAGAAUGAUGGAGGUAGAGCA